rnacentral:rRNA from 1 species
GUGCCAGCAGCCGCGGUAAUACGUAGGUGGCAAGCGUUAUCCGGAAUUAGUGGGCGUAAAGCGCGCGUAGGCGGUUUUUUAAGUCUGAUGUGAAAGCCCACGGCUCAACCGUGGAGGGUCAUUGGAAACUGGAAAACUUGAGUGCAGAAGAGGAAAGUGGAAUUCCAUGUGUAGCGGUGAAAUGCGCAGAGAUAUGGAGGAACACCAGUGGCGAAGGCGACUUUCUGGUCUGUAACUGACGCUGAUGUGCGAAAGCGUGGGGAUCAAACAGG